UAGGGAAUCUUCCGCAAUGGGCGAAAGCCUGACGGAGCAACGCCGCGUGAGUGAUGAAGGUCUUCGGAUCGUAAAACUCUGUUAUUAGGGAAGAACAAAUGUGUAAGUAACUAUGCACGUCUUGACGGUACCUAAUCAGAAAGCCACGGCUAACUACGUGCCAGCAGCCGCGGUAAUACGUAGGUGGCAAGCGUUAUCCGGAAUUAUUGGGCGUAAAGCGCGCGUAGGCGGUUUUUUAAGUCUGAUGUGAAAGCCCACGGCUCAACCGUGGAGGGUCAUUGGAAACUGGAAAACUUGAGUGCAGAAGAGGAAAGUGGAAUUCCAUGUGUAGCGGUGAAAUGCGCAGAGAUAUGGAGGAACACCAGCGGCGAAGGUGACUUUCUGGUCUGUAACUGACGCUGAUGUGCGAAAGCGUGGGGAUCAAACAGG
rnacentral:rRNA from 1 species